AUUGAACGCUGGCGGCAGGCCUAACACAUGCAAGUCGAACGAGUGGCGGACGGGUGCGUAAUGUCAGGGAAACUGCCUGAUGGAGGGGGAUAACUACUGGAAAAGGUAGCUAAUACCGCAUACCAUCGGAUGAGCCCAGAUGGGAUUAGCUAGUAGGUGGGGUAAAGGCUCACCUAGGCGACGAUCCCUAGCUGGACAGAGAGGAUGACCGGCCAAACUGGAAGUGAGACAGUGUCCAGACUCUUACGGGAGUCAGCAGUGGGGAAUAUUGCGCAAUGGGCGCAAUCCUGAUGCAGACAUGCCGCGUGUAUGAAUAGGGCCUUCGGGUUGAAAAGUACUUUCAGCGGGGAGGCGUUACCCGCAGAAGAAGCACCGGCUAACUCCGUGCCAGCCGCCGCGGUAAUAC
rnacentral:rRNA from 1 species